rnacentral:rRNA from 1 species
UGGUUAGUGGCGGACGGGUGAGUAACGCGUGGGUAACCUGCCUUACACAGGGGGAUAACACUUAGAAAUAGGUGCUAAAACCGCAUAAGCGCACAGCUUCGCAUGAAGCGGUGUGAAAACUCCGGUGGUGUAAGAUGGACCCGCGUCUGAUUAGCUUGUUGGCGGGGUAACGGCCCACCAAGGCGACGAUCAGUAGCCGGCCUGAGAGGGCGGACGGCCACAUUGGGACUGAGACACGGCCCAGACUCCUACGGGAGGCAGCAG